UACGAGGGGGGCGAGCGUUGUUCGGAAUUAUUGGGCGUAAAGGGUGCGUAGGCGGUUUGGUAAGUCUUAUGUGAAAUCUAUGGGCUCAACUCAUAGUCUGCAUGAGAAACUGCCGGGCUUGAGUAUGGGAGAGGUGAGUGGAAUUCCUGGUGUAGCGGUGAAAUGCGUAGAUAUCAGGAGGAACACCUGUGGCGAAAGCGGCUCACUGGACCAUAACUGACGCCGAUGCACGAAAGCUAGGGGAGCAAACAGG
rnacentral:rRNA from 1 species